AUAGAUGGGCAUUUUUCCAAUUAAGGGGAAACAGAGAAUAAAACAACAAAUAUGUUAACAGGUCUUCUUCUUCUCAUCCACUGUUUGGGGAAAAUGAAGAACCGGUGAGGAAUCGAUAACCAAAUCUCAAGACAAAGACACAAAUUGAGGUGCACCUGCAUGACAGCCUCCAAUUUUUUUCCCUGCCCACCAACUUGAUGAAGAGAUAUUAUCACCCAAAUACGGCCUCCUAUCUUAUGACUCUCACAUCAUAUAUGAUUUGAGACAGACCACGAAUGAUUUUUAUGACUGCCUUAAACCAUAAAAUUUUUCUACUGUCAGAAAAUUAAUUAAUUUCACAUUUGUUCUGCCAAUGGAGAUCAGCAAAAAUUUGCUUUCGAAUAUCGUUAAUCGGAUUUUCCAAAGGUGGCCAAAUGCCAAACAAAAAAAUCUUUGAUCACACUUCCUGACCCCUCUUAAGGUUCCAAGUGUCUGAUAACAAUGGACCUGUGCUUGGAACAAAGAAAUUCACUUUUUCUAGGAUUUGGUGGAAAAGAAGAAACCAAUUAUAAUACCUGGACUCUCUCUGGUUCCUAUGCAACACACCCAGAGACACCUGAUCUCACACUAGACUAGACAUCACUAACCUAAUCUAAUAACAUAUAGGAUUGUUCAUACAUUAAAGGAAAUAUAAAAAGUGGUUAUGAUAAUCAAUUUUUCAAAUUCAUCAUGGUU
rnacentral:lncRNA from 1 species